UACGAAGGGAGCUAGCGUUGUUCGGAAUCACUGGGCGUAAAGCGCACGUAGGCGGAUUUGUCAGUCAGGGGUGAAAUCCCGGGGCUCAACCUCGGAACUGCCUUUGAUACAGCAAGUCUUGAGUUCGGGAGAGGUGGGUGGAAUUCCUAGUGUAGAGGUGAAAUUCGUAGAUAUUAGGAAGAACACCGGUGGCGAAGGCGGCCCACUGGCUCGAUACUGACGCUGAGGUGCGAAAGCGUGGGGAGCAAACAGG
rnacentral:rRNA from 1 species